rnacentral:lncRNA from 1 species
GCUGGGUGCAGGUCCAGCUAUGCUGCAGAACUCUGCGCAUGCCUGGGAGAGACCGUGCCUGCUCAGCCAAGAUUUGCUGAAGGAGCAUCACAGGACCUAACUGCAAUUCCAGCACUUGGGAGGCGGAGCUGGGGAGAUAGAUAAUCAUCAAGCUUGCCUCGCCUCGCCCCCUGCAGGCCACUUUCCACAUGGUAGGCACAGACCUCCUGUUAACCCUCCCAAUGCCAUACAGUCCUGACUCCUUGACUGGAUCCCACUGCAUCUCACUGCCCACUCUGCCCAGACCUGCUGCUGCCUUGCAAAACUCCUACACACUAUAAAGGCACGCACUCACUGUCGUCAGGAACCCUGUCCCCUUGAAAUCCCUACAGCUUGCUCAGCCAUGACCUUGCAGAAUGGCCUUUCCUGACCGUUAUUACUGUGAGCACCAUAUGCCAGUUAUUAUUGAAUAACAAUAGGUUCACAAGAUUUAGCUAUUUCAAGGACAGUGGUUUGUCAUAUAAUACACCUAGCCUAGUAACCUGAUGAGA